UUUCCGUAGGUGAACCUGCGGAAGGAGCAUUAUCGUAUAACCCAUGUGCGAGUGCUGUCGCUUACCCGACAGGUCGUGCACGCCCGAAUGCCCUCACACAUACCCAUCUCACCCCUAUGUGCACCUCCGCGUGGGUCACCUUCUGGCUUGAUCGGAUGUAGGCUCGCUAUUUAACACAAUCUCUGUAUGCAGUGUAGCACUUGUUUUUUGUAUUUGUGAUGACGCAAUCGAUACAACUUUCAACAACGGUUCUCUUGACUCUCGCUCCGAUAAAGAACA
rnacentral:misc_RNA from 1 species